rnacentral:rRNA from 1 species
GACGAACGCUGGCGGCGUGCCUAAUACAUGCAAGUAGAACGCUGAAGAGAGGAGCUUGCUCUUCUUGGAUGAGUUGCGAACGGGUGAGUAACGCGUAGGUAACCUGCCUUGUAGCGGGGGAUAACUAUUGGAAACGAUAGCUAAUACCGCAUAACAAUGGAUGACACAUGUCAUUUAUUUGAAAGGGGCAAUUGCUCCACUACAAGAUGGACCUGCGUUGUAUUAGCUAGUAGGUGAGGUAACGGCUCACCUAGGCGACGAUACAUAGCCGACCUGAGAGGGUGAUCGGCCACACUGGGACUGAGACACGGCCCAGACUCCUACGGGAGGCAGCAGUAGGGAAUCUUCGGCAAUGGGGGCAACCCUGACCGAGCAACGCCGCGUGAGUGAAGAAGGUUUUCGGAUCGUAAAGCUCUGUUGUAAGUCAAGAACGAGUGUGAGAGUGGAAGGUUCACACUGUGACGGUAGCUUACCAGAAAGGGACGGCUAACUACGUGCCAGCAGCCGCGGUAAUACGUAGGUCCCGAGCGUUGUCCGGAUUUAUUGGGCGUAAAGCGAGCGCAGGGCGGUUUGAUAAGUCUGAAGUUAAAGGCUGUGGCUCAACCAUAGUUCGCUUUGGAAACUGUCAAACUUGAGUGCAGAAGGGGAGAGUGGAAUUCCAUGUGUAGCGGUGAAAUGCGUAGAUAUAUGGAGGAACACCGGUGGCGAAAGCGGCUCUCUGGUCUGUAACUGACGCUGAGGCUCGAAAGCGUGGGGAGCGAACAGGAUUAGAUACCCUGGUAGUCCACGCCGUAAACGAUGAGUGCUAGGUGUUGGAUCCUUUCCGGGAUUCAGUGCCGCAGCUAACGCAUUAAGCACUCCGCCUGGGGAGUACGACCGCAAGGUUGAAACUCAAAGGAAUUGACGGGGGCCCGCACAAGCGGUGGAGCAUGUGGUUUAAUUCGAAGCAACGCGAAGAACCUUACCAGGUCUUGACAUCCCGAUGCUAUUUCUAGAGAUAGAAAGUUACUUCGGUACAUCGGUGACAGGUGGUGCAUGGUUGUCGUCAGCUCGUGUCGUGAGAUGUUGGGUUAAGUCCCGCAACGAGCGCAACCCCUAUUGUUAGUUGCCAUCAUUCAGUUGGGCACUCUAGCGAGACUGCCGGUAAUAAACCGGAGGAAGGUGGGGAUGACGUCAAAUCAUCAUGCCCCUUAUGACCUGGGCUACACACGUGCUACAAUGGUUGGUACAACGAGUUGCGAGUCGGUGACGGCAAGCUAAUCUCUUAAAGCCAAUCUCAGUUCGGAUUGUAGGCUGCAACUCGCCUACAUGAAGUCGGAAUCGCUAGUAAUCGCGGAUCAGCACGCCGCGGUGAAUACGUUCCCGGGCCU